rnacentral:lncRNA from 1 species
AGUGAAAUCGCUCAGUCGUGUCCAACUCCUAGCAACCCCAUGGACUGCAGCCUACCAGACUCCUCCACCCAUGGGAUUCGCCAGGCAAGAGUACUGCUGCUCCAACCAAAAGGUCGACAUUUGCUUUCCAGGCUUCAUCUUCUGAUCCUGUUUUCCCAGCUUCAGACAGCCUCCUCUCGAGGUAUACACUCGCUAGUUACCAGACCUUAUUGUGUUUCUUCCUAUCUCCUGGCUGUCUGCUCUCCUGCAGGAGUCACUCCCCUUUCUCAGCAGCAAGGGGGCAUCCCCAACAAGAGCACACGGCAUGGUAAUGCCACAUACUUUGAUUACAUUAGGCCUUGUUGCUAAUUAGCAUCUACAUAAAACAAUUAGCAAAAUACAUUAGCGUGAAAUUUCUCUUUUAAAAUGCCCCACACAACCCAUAUUUUUAAAUAGUCAACUGAAGGAUAAAGUCCAUCAAUUGUUCUAAACUCCUGCUGAGCGCCUCUAGUUUGUAGCAGCUCAGCUGGUCUCUCAAUGCCCUCGGGAGCUUAGAAAAUUUUUUUAAUGUCAACAGAUGGACAUUGUAAGGAAAGUGUGGAAAAAAAGAGAGCAAGCUGGGCAGUCAGGCAAGAAAAAGAAAUUUAUUAGAGGGAAAACAAGAGGAUGACUGGCCCUUAAGGAGAAUCAGUGUCCUCCCUUUCUGAUGGGGUCUUUCUUAUACCCUGCCAAUGAAAAAUUCUCUGAAGGAAUUUUUAGCCUGUAGCUGAGUCCUGCUGACAUGUAGCUGGAGGUCUGAAAUCCAGUGGUCUCGUAGCCUUGAGAAAGUAGGGGCCAGCGGGAAAACAGAAUGUCAUUUGGGCAAUUUGGUCAGUCUCAAGGAUCACUGUGAUUUUAUUCUUUGUUUGUGAGGUCAACAUAAUGAGCCAUUUCAACCAUAAGCCCCCAUGUGGGUGCUAUCAGACAUGUGGAUAGGGUCCCACAUGUCUGUGGGCUGUAAAAUAUAAAUGGGAAAAGUUUAGCUUCACAAUGAUUUAAGCAAGACAAAUAACUAUGAAGUUUCAUUGACCAUACCCAGUAAAUCGACAAAAUCCAGUGUACAGCAGUGUCUGGCACUAUUACAAAUCAGUGUAGCUUUUUUGGGGGGGACAGUCAUGCAAUAACCAUAAUACUUUGACCCAGCAAUUCUACCCAAGGAGUGAAGACAAAGAUGCGAAAAUUUUGUGCAACAAUGUUCACUGAAGUUUCUCCCUAUAAGAGGAGGACAUUUAAAACAAUCCUUAGCAAACCACGAUAUGCAGGUACACUGAGAGGUUCAGCGUGGCCACUAUGAACUGCAUGAGAUUUUAUACAUGAAAUAAUAAGUGACAGUAAAGGAAGACUCCAACUGAAUCAAUAUAUCACUUGUAAUUAAAUGAAAACGUAUUUCAUUUAAGGGACACAGAUCAUACCAGAAAUGAAUUAAGAAUGAAAUAAAUAAUUGGCAUUGAGGUUUUUGUUCUUGUUG